CUCACAGUCGCGUGCCCGUCAUACGUCACUAUAAGCGCAGCGAUCAAGCAAGCGUGCGCUGGCAUGUGCCAGCUUGUCGUGUUUCGAUAGAGUUUCGGCGCGAAAAAUCGUGCUCUGGUUCUCCCUGAAGGGCUGCGGAAGAUGUGGUGUCCGGUCGUCAGUAGGCACAUGUUUUUCAAGGAUGCUCAAGCCAGCCAGCAAGAGAGUGGUCUUCCAAGUACAAUUCGCCCUCCAGCCCAGUGUAGCAUCGUACUAUGUGCCUUUAGGAGUGCUCACAAAUUUUCUUCCUCUUUUGAAACUGGUAGUGGUCUUACUUCUAAUCACGGUAACAACUACAAGGAUAAACCUAUCUUCAGAGUACAAAAAUAAUGUUCCCUUUGAAGUGGCAACCUUAAGAUGAGCACUCACUGCAACAUGUUUCCUUGGUAGUACUGCUGCGGGGGCCAAUGCAAUUAAUCACUGUUGCUGUGUUGAGGCUUGGUGUAUGAACACCAACCAGAUAACACUACGGAGAUGCAGAUGUAUCAGCUCAUCUCCAGCAUCGGCUGAAUCAGUGCUUUGGCCUUUCGUGGCACCUGAUUGAUAAGUAGUGCUGUAAGUAGUACUGUGUCAGGCUGAGUGUACGGAAAGCAUUGAGACAGUUUAAAAGGAAAGGGCUGAUUUGAUACUGAUUCAAGUGGCUCAGCACUCUCGGCAGCAUGGUAUGGCCUGGUGCCACUGCACUUGGUUGACUAGUGCAUGCCAAGUGUGCUGUGCUAUCAGGUAACCACUAACUGCAAUUACACUGACAUUCCUUAUGAUCCAUGAAUCUACAUACGAAUUGGCUGUAGUCUCACUUGCAUGGAAAUAUGAUGUAGUUAUUUUUCUUGAAUAAUUUAUAGAGCAUAGCAUGGUUGUACUUGGACUCCAUGCUUACUUAUUCGAGAAAAAUGAGGCAAAAACUAAGAUACUUCCUUGUUAUAACAGUCUUCAUUUCUAAGAAAGAACAGUAUGUUAAAACUGCAGCGGCUGUGUUCCAAAUAAUUUAUCCUUUCUGGAGAAGCUAAUUUGGCCCUGUUUUACUGCAGGGGGUUGCCUGGUUCUCUUACAUAAUUUAUCAUUGGCUUGAUGAUGUGGUGAUUUUUGGCAGCACAUUGAAUGAGCAUAACAGCCAUCUCAGUCUUGUUCUGGAUUGUGUCAAACAAGCCGGCUUGAUCCUAAAUUCCAAGAAAUGUCGUUUCGGGGAAACCAAGACGUUAGUACUUGGGCAUCUGGUCGACAAAAACGGUGUGAGGCCAGAUCCACGGAAAAUUGAGACGGUCAGCUCCUUCGAAGCACUGAAGUCAGUGCGGGAGUUCAGGAGUUUCUUGGGCCUGUGCUCGUAUUUUCGUCGCUUCGUCCCAAGAUUCGCUGACGUGGUGUACCCCCUAACAUGUCUUCUCCGAAAAGCCGUCCCUUUCAACUGGACAUCGGCUUGCGAUGACGCGUUCCGCCAGCUAAAAUUUCUACUAACAUCAGGGCCCAUAUUACAUCACUUCGAUGCAUCCGCACCUACGGAAGUGCACGCGGAUGCCAGUGGCAUCGGCAUCAGUGCCGUACUAGUGCAACGUCAUCAUGGAGCUGAACACAUUGUGGCUUAUGCUAGUCGCCCUUUGACUAAGGCGGAACGCAAUUACACUGUGACCAAGCAAGAAUGUUUGGCAGCUGUUUUCGCUGUCCACAAAUUUCGUCCCUAUAUCUACGGACGCCCGUUCACUAUCGUUACUGACCACCACGCGUUAUGCUGGUUGGUGAAUCUCCGUGACCAGAGUGGACGACUGGCACGUUGGGCUCUUCAACUGCAGGAGUACGAUUUCGUUAUUUCCUACAACUCCGGACAGUCUCUCCCGCCUUCCUCUGACGACGACGGAGUGUGACGAAGAGAAUUUUGAUGACUGUUUUGCUCCCAUUUCUUCUACAUUCCCAGACUCGGCGACUUUCAAAGCAGAGCAGGAAAAUGAUAUUAGUUUGGAACCUCUAUUUGUAGCCGCAUCAUGUCCUGGAGCCACCGGUCGAUUUUGUGUCCGCGACGGCCUGCUUUACAAGAUCAAUUAUUCAGCUAAAGGCACACGCUUCCUUGUGGUGGUGCCGCAGAGUCUGCGAACGGACAUACUGAGAGCCAUGCACGACGAUGUGACCUCUGGCCAUCUAGGAUUCAUCAGAACUUUGAACCGGAUACAGGAGGGUUUUUACUGGCCCAAAAUGCGGGACACAGUGAAGCACUACGUCGCCACUUGCGAACAAUGUCAACGCUACAAGCACCCUACAACCGCUCCACCAGGUCUUCUACCUCUUCUGCUUGCCCGGCUCAUGCCAUAGCAAUAUUGAUGGUUUUCAGAUUGUUUUUCCUAUAGGAUAUAUUGCUGUUUUGGGUCUUCAGCUGUUGCUCUCAUUUGUUUCACUACAUUGUUUGUAUUUCUUUUCUCUUUUGCUGAAUACAAGGCUAGUCAAAUAGUGAUUUGAUGUUUCCAUAUGUGAAUUCUGGUUUUGUUUUUGUUCAUGAGAAGUAAGUCUCAUAGUGUGCCCUCUGCGUUAUUUUACUGGAGAGAAUGCAGCUAACACUGCGCUGUUGCUCACCUAAGAAAUCAUUUUUUUAUGAGAGCAGUGUUCCUUUUCAUGCAUUGUUUUACUGUCUUAUUCUAUUUACCAUUGAGUAUGUUUAUGCUUAGUUGUUAUGCAUAAGUGAUAUCAUUGUAUUGGUUCGUGUGUUAAGUGUUCAUUGUGCCUUUCAGAAACCGAGAGAUGGCAUUAUGCUGCAUUUUUGGCGUUCACAUUAUUUUCAUAAGACAGCUCCAGUCUGCCAUUGUAUUUCACUGCAAAUAUUGUGUACAUCAUUACGUACUUGUCAAGCGGUUGAUACCAAUAAGAAAAGACUGGUGGUGACAACUUGAGUUUCUCUUCGCUUAGUAAUAGUGGCACUUGAUUUGUUGUCCCAAACAGUCCAGGACUGUCCGAGAAGCUGCGUACGCCAAUAAUCGCUGGCUGCAGUAGCGUCUCAAGCAGUCUGGGACAACAAAUUGAAGAGGCCCAGUGCGUGCAUGCAUGCAUGACGAAUUAAAGAAACGGCCAAAAAUAGUACAGUGGAUAUUCUAUGGACGUAAGUGUGGUUAAUAUGGAUAUUCAUUAGAUGUACUAAAUAUCUAUUGGAUGUUUUGGAUAUCUAUUGGAUGUAAUAAGUACAUCAAACAGGAUGUCUUGGACGUCUAUUAGAUGUUGCAUAUAUCCAGCGCUGACAUCCCCACAACAUACUACUUACAUGUUCCGGAUGAAUAUGCGAUGAUCCUGAGUACAUCCAUGCAAAGUUUUCUGGAUAAAUCUGGAUAUCUAAUGGACGUACUGAAUUUCCAAGGUGUACCAUAUUAUUCACAUCUAAUGGAUGUAUCUGGCUAUCUGGGAUGCACCAAAGUGACUAGAGUCUGAUAUAUUCAAUUACUUCUUGUAGUGUGUCAUACGUUGAAAAUGACAAAUAUUUGGCCCAGCGGGUCGCACUAGAAAAGGCUCAGUGCAUAUUUCAUGCUUUUGCUUUAUUCAUCUUAUUUGUCGCAGCACACUUCAAAGCUGUGCUGUUUGCUUCAUUCUGUUCUUUUUCAUGUUAGUCAGCACGAGGUUAUACAGGGUGUCCCAGUUAAAUUUAGCCAGAGUUUAAAAGUAUGCGAAUGCCACAUAGCUGGACAGAACCAAGGUAACGUUGUUUGCCAUCGCUUGGAGAUACCUAAAUUAUUUCUUCAUUUCGUCUAAUUAAAUAAUCAGUCUUAGUUAAACUUCUGAAAUAUUAUAAUUAGAAGAAAAGUGUCAAUGAUAAAAUUGUAAAGCGACAUGAAAAACUGCCGGCACAGCUUUCUGUGCCAGCAGUGUUUUUCAGAGCAUGAAAGAAGCCUGCGAAUGCAUGCAAAGUGCCUCGAGCGGGCAGUCCCGUGGCAAUUUUACAUAAUUGUGCGUGGCGACAGUGUUAUUGCCCUUGGACUUCAACGGAACUUCACGGUGAUGGCGACGGCUGAAAUGCGCUUGGAGUGCCCAUAUACUUGCUCUAGCAAUAAAAACUUUACGUAAUGAAAUCACACCGAGCGCUUCACGAAGGCUAGCAAAUCAUCAGGUUCUGCAUUGCACGUAGCCUCCGAAGAGUUAUGCAACCCAAAGGAAAUCGGCUGCGAGCUUAUCUCCAGCUCCCAAUUCCGGUAUAGCACAAUGUGUUUUGGACGGCCCAAGGGCCGGACAAGAAAGUUCUGCGAUGGCACUGCUUCGGAAACAAGGCCCCAUCUUUUCCAGCCUGGCACGAAUAAACGUCGUGAAUUCUAAUACGUACAGCCCCGGGAAGUAUCACGUCAAACUAACCGAACAUUUUAGCUGCAACGCCGUACACAAGAUCUUCUUUGCAGAAGUGCUUGCUACGCACGCGAUAAUGAAUGGUGGGCUGCUUCCCCAUUCUCAGCUUUAUCAACCAUGCACCCUGCUGCUGCUUGGUUUUGGCGUACGCAUGAAAACUCACAGUGGGCUCUGUCGAAUACGUUUGGCACAGUGGCACCGAGCAGUAAACCAUGCUGAAACAAUAAACGAAAUGACUGUCUUCGGGCUGAAAGGCAGCGAGCAGCGCUGGCGUGGCUGGCAAAGCAGAGUCACGUGAUGUCGUUUACUACGUCACAGCUAUAGCUGCGCCAGUCUCUCCUGUGGUGGCCCUCGAGGUCAAUACAUGCGAGGAGGGCAGGAGGGGGAGGGUUGUAAGAAGGCAAGGAAACGCUACUAUACAUGAUAGCGGUUGCAGGCAAAGUGGGUAAAUUUAAGUUUAAUGUAUAGUGCAGUACGUUUCUGCUCUUUCUAAAAAAUAAACACCUGGCCUGGGGAGUCAGUUGAUCUGUGUAAGCAAAGUCGUGAGCUUCAACAUGAACACAACUUUGUCUUCAUACCAUCAUAGCCUUUUUGCCAGUUUCGUUACUUCAUUACCAUGCCAUUGUCAUCGUUCAUUGUUUUCACUCUGUUAUUGCGCCAUUGUCAAUUCAUAGUUGUCAUUCCUUCUUGAAAUGCUAGUGUAGCAUAUACAAGACAAGGACAGUAGAAGGGCACUUGAAAAAGAUGCGACACAAGCUUCGAAGAUCCAGUUGCUGGAAGUUAAUGCAUUGUGUUUUCAGAAGUUAGCUCCAUGUCUUUGCAUUAAAGUGCCAUUCUACUUCCCUCAUAUCAUAGGAAGCCAACAAACACUGACACCAAGGACAACAUAGGGGAAAUUAUUUGUUUUUAAUAAAUGAAAUCAAGAAACACUAAAUUAUUGGAAAUGAAAGUGGAUGAAAAAACAACUUGCCAUAGGUGGGGAAUGUUCUAAUGCUCUGAGAGAGCAUCACACGCGUCAUGUGAAUUUGUGGGAUCGUUCUACACUUGCGGCAAGUUGUUUUUUCAUUCACGUUCAUUUACAUUAAUUUAUCAUUUCUUUAUUUCAUUAAGAGAGCAUUGCACGUGUAAUGCAAGACAUGGAAUCAUUCCCCACCUGCUGCAAGUUAUUUCAUUUAUUAAAAACAAGUAAUUUUCUCUAUGUUGUCCUUGGUGUCAGUGUUUGUUGGCUUCUCUUGAUAUGAUUAAUAAAAAUUGGGCCCCUCCGUUAACACCCCUCUCGUCUUCCACUUCACUCGUCUUGAAUGUGCUACACCAGAUUCUAAGAUGGCAUACCAACAGGCUGCAUUGCAACGCUAGUUUACGUCAUUCCUUCAUUGUCAUGCUGUCAUCACUUUUACUCUAGCAUUAUUAAUGCAUCAUCAUUAUGCCGUUGUCAUCAGACAAUCAUCAUAAUCCCAUCAUUAUGCAGUCAACAUCAUUCUGUUGCAAAUUCAGCAGUAUCAUUGCACCAUUGUCAUGGUCAUUCCAAAGUUAACCCACUGUUGUCACACUGUCAUCAUCAUUCCACUGUCAUUUCUUUGUUGAAUGCAUGGAAUCCACAUGUGGGAGUACCACAAGUUUACAUUGAGUGAGCCAUUUCACUGUGAAAGCGUGGCCUACUUGGUCAUGUGAUUUGUAGUUGCAAAUUGUCACUGUACAGGACGACCGUUCCUCACAAACAGCAAUGAAAAUUUCCAUACAUUUAUGUUUGUUUUCCUGUACUACAGUUUGUUCUGCCGCUCAUUUCUUUUCAACUGACUGGUUUUUCAGAACGCCCUUCUUUUGUGCGAAAGGCAUUAAAUAAAUGCAGA